rnacentral:rRNA from 1 species
UACGUAGGGGGCGAGCGUUGUCCGGAUUCAUUGGGCGUAAAGAGCUCGUAGGCGGUUCAGUAAGUCGGGUGUGAAAUCUCCGUGCUCAACACGGAGCGGCCACCUGAUACUGCUGUGACUCGAGUCCGGUAGGGGAGUGUGGAAUUCCCGGUGUAGCGGUGAAAUGCGCAGAUAUCGGGAGGAACACCAGUAGCGAAGGCGGCACUCUGGGCCGGUGACUGAC